rfam:Schistosoma curassoni strain Dakar, Senegal genome assembly, scaffold: SCTD_contig0000490
AUUCAACUGACGAGUCCCAAAUAGAAUGAAACGCGUGUCCUAAAU